AGGAUUAACGCUGGCGGCGUGCCUGACACAUGCAAGUCGAACGAGGCCGCAAGGCCGAGUGGCGGACGGGUGAGUAACACGUGACCAACCAACCUCGAAGUUGGGAAUAGCUCUGCGAAAGUAGGGGUAAUACCGAAUGUGGCCCAGGGCGGGCAUCCGCCUUGGUCUAAAGAUUCAUCGCUUCGAGACGGGGUCGCGGCCUAUUAGCUUGUUGGUGAGGUAACGGCUCACCAAGGCGAUGAUGGGUAGCUGGUCUGAGAGGACGACCAGCCACACUGGGACUGAGACACGGCCCAGACUCCUACGGGAGGCAGCAGUGAGGAAUCUUCCGCAAUGGGCGAAAGCCUGACGGAGCAACGCCGCGUGUGGGAUGAAGACUCUAGGGUUGUAAACCACUGUCGGAGGGGACGAUCGUGACGGUACCCUCCGAAGAAAGCCCCGGCUAACUACGUGUCAGCAGCCGC
rnacentral:rRNA from 1 species